rnacentral:rRNA from 1 species
CACCUCUUGACUUUAUAAGAGGCCCAGCCUGCCCAGUGACUCUUGUUUAACGGCCGCGGUACCCUAACCGUGCGAAGGUAGCGUAAUCACUUGUCCUAUAAAUGAGGACUAGUAUGAAAGGCUCCACGAGGGUUAAACUGUCUCCUUUCUCUAAUCAGUAAACCUAAUCUCCCCGUGAAGAAGCGGGGAUAAUUCUAUAAGACGAGAAGACCCCAUGGAGCUUUAAACACUAUAACACCUGCCACAUCUAUCAUCCCCCGACACUCACACUCGUGACAUUCUGUUUAAAUGUUUUUGGUUGGGGUGACCGCGGGGAAUAACAUAUCCCCCGCGAUGAAAAGGUAUACCCUUAAACUACAAGUCACAACUUUAAGUAUCAGAAAACUGACAUACUUUGACCCAAUUCUUUGAUCAACGAACCAAGUUACCCUGGGGAUAACAGCGCAAUCCACCUCGAGAGCCCUUAUCGACAGGUGGGCUUACGACCUCGAUGUUGGAUCAGGGUAUCCUGGUGGUGCAGCCGCUACCAACGGUUCGUUUGUUCAACGAUUAAAACCCU